UCACAACUCGGAGACAAAUUGCAGGCGCUAUGAACCGGAGCAAGGACUAAGCACGCCUCAUAAUGAGGCGGUGACCUCCUAUUUGCUCUGAGCAAUAACUGCAAAUCCAGAUUUACACGAUGUUGAUAAAGACGACAUUGUGUCCGCUUGUAAGACGUAUUAUGAGACGGUACGCAG